GGGGAGUUAGCUCAGUUGGUAGAGCGUCGCGAUCGCACCGCGAAGGUCAGGGAUUCGAGUUCCCUACUCUCCA
rfam:Thermosynechococcus elongatus BP-1 DNA, complete genome.